UUGUUAAAGGAGUGGGUUUUGGACUUAAUUACAAGUUUGCCACUCCAAUGAAUAAAGGUAUGAAUAUGACUUUAUAGCCAAAAUUCAUUUAGGGUUUUCUUUUGGGGAAAGGAUGAGAACAUAAGCUCUCAUUUCUCUCUAAGGUGGCCGGCCUCCUUGGAGGGUUUAGCUAGCAAUCCUACUACUCCAAGGUCACUCAUUUCUUCUCCAAUCUAACCUUGGUGAAGAGACUUAAAGGUUCUCAAUUUUUGGGAACUUGGAGAACCAUUUCAUCCAUCCAAAUCCAUAGAUCUAAGAUGCAAGGAAUGAAGGCCCUCUCUUUGGGUGAUUAGCCUUUGCUUAUGCAAAGAGGAAUCUACAAAGGUAUAAUUUCUCAACUAACAAAUGUUGUUUUUAGUUGAGUCAAGGUUCACCAAUCUACUAGGCUUUGAAUUUCAUGGUUAAUGUUUUGUUUUAAGUGCAUACAAGCAUGAUUCCGCCUUUUAAUUGUUAAUUGCAUGCUAUAAAUGUUGCUUAAAUGAACAUGUUUUUCACAAAAUUUCCUUCAAGUGGUAUCAGAGCCUAGGUCUAGUAGUUGGUGAAUCCUUUUGGGUUUUGUAUUAUCAUAGUUUAUGAUUUGAAUGUUGUAAUUGUUACAAGCUUUAUUCUUGCUUCUUUGAAUGUAAAUUUUGUUAGAAAAUUUUCCAUCUCAAAUGUUGUAGAUGUAGUUCAUAUGAGCAUGAAUAUUGGAGCUAAAAUUUGGUGUCAUGUUUUUGGGAAUUUUCGGCCAAAUCCAAAGGGUGGAUUUUUGGGUUCUUGUUUGACUUGUUAAAAGUGUUUUCAAGUAACUUUUGGAACCCCUAUGUACCCUAGUUUGGUUAUAUGUUAUUUCCCUUAAGUUUGAAUGGUUUUGGGAUGUUUUUGGGUGAAAAAUGUUCAUGGAAAUUUUUUGAGUUUUUCAUGAAUGUUCUUCAUUGUUCUUGACAUUUUUGCCAAGAACAAAAAGUUUGGUGUUUUGAUUCAAAGUUUUGAUUUAUGUCAUAAAGUUUAUGUUUUAUAUUUUUCAAAUGUUUAAAUGUGUUAAAUAUUUAUUUAGAAAGGUGUCAAAAAUAUUGGUGGGUGUGUAAGGAUUAAUUCCCUUUCACACACACCACUUGCAUGACAUUUAUGUCAUGCACCACUUGCAUGACUUUAUGUCUAAAACUACAAAUCAACACACACAUCACUCCCUUCUCUCCAAAACCGGCCACCCUACAAGUGGGGUGUUUUUGAGGCUUUUAUGCAAUUACAUAAAGUUUUGGUACUUUUGUGUAAUUUGUAGUUUCACCCAAAAGUUUACGUAUUUACGUAAAUGCCCAAAAUCAUUAAAGGACAAAUUGUUUUGUUCCUUUAAUGAAGUUUUUGAAUUUGUUGAAAUUUUUUGGUUCUAGUUGUAAUUACAUGAAGUAGUGGACUUUUGUGUUUUUACAAAGUGACCCUAAAAGUUUAUGUUUUUGCAACAUAGCCCAAAAAGUUGAGGUUAUUGCAUUUUGGCCCAAAUUAGGUUGAGAACAAAAUGGUUUUGUCUCUUUAAAUGAGAAUUUGAUUUUCAUUUCAUUUAGCUCCAUUUAAAUCAAUUUUAUGGAUACAAAAACCAAAUGAAAAUGUUGCAUUCAAUUUAAUUAGUUAAAGUGUUAAUUAAUUAAAGGGUGAUUAUGAACCUAAGCCUACUAUAAUUGAGCUAUGUGAAAGGCCAUUUCAAAUUUGUUUGAACCAUGGGAAUGAGUAGAUUAGAUUUUGGUUGUAAUUUGAUUUGAUCAAAUGUUGUAAAAGAGCAUAAGCUCUUCUUUACUUUAAAG
rnacentral:lncRNA from 1 species